UACAGAGGGUGCGAGCGUUAAUCGGAAUUACUGGGCGUAAAGCGUGCGUAGACGGUUAUUUAAGUCGGGUGUGAAAGCCCCGGGCUCAACCUGGGAAUUGCAUUCGAGACUGAAUAGCUAGGGUACGGUAGAGGGAAGUGGAAUUUCCGGUGUAGCGGUGAAAUGCGUAGAUAUCGGAAGGAACAUCAGUGGCGAAAGCGACUUCCUGGACCAGUACCGACGUCAGGCACGAAAGCGUGGGGAGCAAACAG
rnacentral:rRNA from 1 species